rnacentral:rRNA from 1 species
AAUGAACGCUGGCGGCAUGCCUUACACAUGCAAGUCGAACGGUAACAGGUCUUCGGAUGCUGACGAGUGGCGAACGGGUGAGUAAUACAUCGGAACGUGCCUAGUAGUGGGGGAUAACUACUCGAAAGAGUGGCUAAUACCGCAUGAGAUCUACGGAUGAAAGCAGGGGAUCGCAAGACCUUGUGCUACUAGAGCGGCCGAUGGCAGAUUAGGUAGUUGGUGGGAUAAAAGCUUACCAAGCCGACGAUCUGUAGCUGGUCUGAGAGGACGAUCAGCCACACUGGGACUGAGACACGGCCCAGACUCCUACGGGAGGCAGCAGUGGGGAAUUUUGGACAAUGGGCGCAAGCCUGAUCCAGCAAUGCCGCGUGCAGGAUGAAGGCCUUCGGGUUGUAAACUGCUUUUGUACGGAACGAAAAGCCCCGGGUUAAUACCCUGGGGUCAUGACGGUACCGUAAGAAUAAGCACCGGCUAACUACGUGCCAGCAGCCGCGGUAA